GUCUUCCGUGCUAUGUUGAUUCCAUCCGCUCUCAUCAUCAUCGCCAUCAUUACGAGCAUCGCACUGAAGAACCUAGUGAACGUCCGUGUUGCACGUGAGAGAGUUUAUCGGGCGUAGGCGCGUAUCUGCGCGUCCCUCUCACGUUUGCUUCGCGUUUCUCGAUUUCACAUCAGACGCCUUUGCCGUCUACGCUCCCGUUGUACUGUGCCGUGCGUGUGCAGACGCAUACCCACAUAGACGUGCAUCUGCCAGACUCACUCAUUGAGCGCCUACGGAUCUUGCGUCACGCACAACAAAAGGAAAUCGAUCACAUCCACAGGCGCAUCGAAAGAUUCUCGGAGUGACGUGCAGGGUCGAACGCAUUUGCCCUAAGUGUACGCUGGUGCACCAGCACCUUUUCUCUCGAGAAGGAUCGAAACACUCUUCUCGCCUGGCGCACACCAGCGCGCAGACGAAAGCGCCAUACCGUUUCCCUUCGCGCAAACAGAGCAAGCCCACGGCUCCUCUUUGUAGUCUCACACCUUCGCUUGCUCUCAAGUGGUCGGCGUGAUCGCUUUCCUUUGCUGUUCUUUCAGCUGCCUCUCCUCUUUCUGUUUUGCCUCUCUCGCCGACGCCUUUUUGCCCACGUGCACCUGUGCAUGUGUGUGUGUGUGGGCGUGUGUCUCUCUUCGCCGCUGCCUUUUUUUUUGUCGUGGUGGUUGUGUCACCCCCACCCCCUCCUCCCCCAUCCGUCUGUCCAAGAGUCCGCUUGCUUCGACUUUGGCCGCGUUUUGCUUUGCUCUGCGGCACAGCUCUCCGCCGUUCCGUUUCUCUUUGCCUUCUUUUGUGAAGGGGGUGGAGAGGGAUCGGGUCUCACCUCUCUGUGUCUCUGCAGCUGAGAGUCGCAUCGUUUUUUUUUUUUGCACUCGUUUUCCUUUUCUGUUGAUGGGGCGGUGUGACGGCGGCGCGCUUCUGAGCUCAAAACCCCUCUCCCACCGCGUUAUACCUCGUCUGCCGUUUCUCCUCACGCUUUCUCUCUCUCCCUCGUUAUCUUCAAAGCCCGUCAUAUUGGACUGCUGCAGCUGCUUCUGCUGCUUUUAUACCGAGGUGUUGCCCCUCUCCCUCCCACCGCCUCCCUUUGUUUCACGCUGAGAGCAGACACCCAGGGCUCAGGCGCCAUACAGACGCGCGCCUCAUUUGGUUCUCGAGUGGUGCUUCACGUCCCGUCGAGCACGCCUUCUCCGCCAUGAAGGGAAAGAGUAGAGCAGCUUCCUUCUACACCAACAUGGCCAUUCUGUCGACCGUGUUGGUGUCGGAGUCGCUGUCGGCGACGCUCAUGAUGCCGUUUGUGGGGCUGUUUGUGGCACACUUAGAGGACAUUCCGCCUAGUGAGGCGGGCUACGUCUCUGGCCUCUUGAUUUCUAUAUAUCAGCUCGGCCAGAUGCUGACGGGUAAGCUGUGGGGAACGGCAAGUGACCGAGUCGGGCGGAAACCAAUGAUUCAGAUGGGCCUCCUAGCCAACGCCGUUGUAUCGAUCUUCUUUGGCCUGAGCCCGAAUUUGAAAUUCUGCAUAAUCACACGCUUUAUCCAGGGCUGCGCUAACGGAAACGUCCUGGUUGCGAAGACGGUGAUAGCAGACAUCACCGACAAGGACACGGAGGGUAUCGGGUUUGCUGCGAUUAGUAUUUUCUGGGGUGUCGGCUCUGUGGUCGGGCCGGCGCUGGGCGGAUAUCUCUACAACCCGAGCCACCACCCCGUACUCGGGCCCCGGCUGUUCACUGGCGGGAUGGAGGACAACGACAACAUCUUUGUGCUGCAUCCAGCCCUGCUGCCGUGCGUGGUGAUCAGCACCUUUUCAGCGAUCACGCUCCUCGUGAUUUCGCACGUAUUGCCAGAGACCAGCCGCCACCCAGUCGACCCGUUCAUGUCGCUCUUCAUGUCUGCACGACACCGAGAGCGUCGAAUGCCCGACUUGGCGAAACAGCGCAGCAUGGCUGCUGCCAGUCGUUCCAACGACGCCGAGCAGAUUGCCGUGAUCGAAGAUGAAGACGAUGAUGAGAACGAUGUGGCCGAAGAUGCAUGGCAAAACGUCGCGGCUGCCGAUAACUUUAGCGGACACCCGAGCUCCGCGCUUUUGCGUCCGCCGCUUUUGAAAAAGACGUUCCCGUGUACAAACGCGCCGUCGGCGCCGGAGAUCCUGAACCAGGCGGCUGCCCUUACUUCGCGGGCGAAAGACUUUGUCAGUCAGAGCCCCGGGGCAGGCAGGGGCGGAAGCACCGGCCGGUACGGCCUCUCGGAGCGGCUCACGUCCCGUGCCGCCUCUUACUCCUCUUCCGUCGGCCUGCUACAAAGUGCGCGUUGCGGCGAGAGCGACGCUCCUGGUCAGCAGCGGCACCUCGGCGAAGAUGUGGCUUCGCCCCCACUUCACCGGCUAGAGACGCAGUUCAAGGAAAAGAUAUGCAGCGAUAUGCCGCUUCUGUGCCAAUCUCGCGAAGGCGCAUCCGACAGCGGCUUCACAACGCGCGCUUCUGAACCGAAGGCAUUCGGUUACCGCGAGGCGCUUGCGCUGCCGACCUCGCGGAACGUAAUGAUCAUCUACAUGUGCAUCGCCUCCACCGAGAGUGCACUGCUUGAGGUGAUUCCGCUUUGGGCAAUCGCGGAGCGCGAGAAAGGCGGCCUUGGCUUCUCUUCGUCCGACAUUGGCGCACUGCUGUGCAUCUCCUCGAUUGUUUAUGUUGCGGUGAGCUUGGCCUUUAGCCGCAUCUUGAAGUGCCUCGGCGGCGCCACCCGACCGCUGUGGGACUUUUCAGUGCUUCUGUGGUGCACCACCUCCAUUCUUACACCGUGCUGUGCGUACCUGACAGACAAGUCCACCAUCUUCUACGCCGCCGCCGUCGCCACCUCGACGCGCGAGAUAGGCCUCUCCUGGUGUUACUCGAUUAUGUUCAUGUACGUGGUGCGCAGCGCGCCGGACGAGUGCGCCGGCUCCAUCAACGGAAUCGCUCAGUCCAUCGCCUCUUUCUCACGCAUGCUGACGAUGUCCGUGAUUCCGCCGAUCUUUGCGUGGUCGCUAAACGGGGUCACGCACCCGUUCCCCUUCAACUAUCACUUCGUCUUUUGGCUUACGUGCGUGCCGCUGCUGCUGAGUUUUGUACUGUCCUCUAUUCUCCCAGUGCGGGUGUCCGGCUGACCGAUUCAUGUUCUCGCCACCAAGCCCCAUGUCGGUUAUGAUGAGACGCAGCGUUGAAACAGAAAGAGCGGACAACCAGGUACCCCACUUUCUCGCUUGGAAGUGCUGCAAGUGUGUGCGUGCGUGUAUGUUGUCGUAUUUGUCCACCUCCUUCCUUGGUGCGAUGCGCCUCUCCGUCUGGUGGCCACGAGCCGGCGGCGGGGCACGUGAAGCGGCUUGCAUGCUGGAAGCUUUCCUGCUUGUCGGCGCGCCGAUGACGUGACACCCUUUACCGUGCCGAAAUUCUGUCAUGGACGCACUCGCUCUCAACUCCACCAUGAUGCUCUGAGAAGGGGGAGGCGAAGCGCCUGCUUCGAUGCGCCGGAUGCUCUGCUAACCCCCUGCGCGGGUACAAGUGUCCAGCUUGUAUGCUUUUUUGCUGCUUUUUCUUUUGCUUGUGGCUGUGUCGCCCCUCCGUUUCUCCCGGCGAGUCUUGGUUAUCCGAGAGAUCAACACCAACAGUAGAGGUGGAGACACGCGCGGCAAAGCUGCUCUUCUUUUUUUUUGUCCUGUUUUUGGCUGAGGCUCCCGUUUACUCGGCAAGGAAGAAGUGGUGUUAUAACGUUGCACUUCGUUCCUGCGUUAUCGAUGUUGGCUGAGGUCCGACGCGAAGCAAGAACCGCAGGCGGGCUCACAUAAGGGACGGGGCAAGUGCGCAAGUCUCUCCUACCCGUGUUCUGUGCACGCGUGUACGUGUGGGUGGAGUGCCCUUUUUCGUUUCCGAGAGCGACUGCUCGGUAACUGGUGCGACCGGCUAGUGCCAUCGGAGUUGCACUGCUGCCAAACACGACGCCAACGAGCAUGCCGGCGUGUAUCGAAACAGAUAAACGUUGUGCACGCACGGACC
rnacentral:misc_RNA from 1 species